GUGAGAAAUGUCCUUUUUUUCAUUCUUUAUGAAAAAAAAUUGAAACACUAGUGCUGUAAUGUAUACUCUCCUGUAAGAUCUGUCUUUGUACAGAACGAAGCACUUGCUUAUAUGUAUCGGUCAGUUGGAGAUUAUUACCAGACAAAUAGGUUGAUUGUCCUGUUCUCAGACUGAAUUAUCUUCUCGUUGGCCUAGUCACAGGGAAUUAAUAAAACUAGAUAGGAAUGUAUUUCCAUUCUCCCAGCCUACAGAUUUAAGUGGUUAAUGUAAGAGUUGACCCAAUUUAAGCCCAGUACUGUCAGUUCUCCUUAUCUCAGCCCAAAUAGGAACUAAGAAAUAUCCCAAAUGUUGAUGCUCAUCCAAGCAUUUGGGGGUGGGAGUGGGAGGGAACUGAUGCCAGGAGAUGGGACUAGAGCGAGGAAUAUAUAUUUUUUGAGCCUGCCCCACGUUUUUUCUACUGUAUUGUGAGUGUUGUAACAUUUGAAAAACUUUUGCCAUAGCUCUUUGGGACUUGGCGUUAAAGGAGCCAGUGGUCUCCCUUGGGUAGUGUACUAUAGUGAUUUAUUAUGACCCACAACCACGUGGGUCUGCAUCCCUUGCAAAUGACACAACCUCAAAAGUAACAAUGAAAAACCACUCCACCAAGUAGAUGUCUUUAUGUUGUCACUCUUAUUUAAAUACAAACUUGGGCAGGGAGCAUGUUUUUUGUUCUAUACAAAAUUUAGCUGACUUUGGAUAUUCAUAUUUUAAUUGUUGAAUGACUUACAUGUUCUUGAUGACUAAACUCAAAUGUCUUUUUCCCGUAUCAGUGUUGCUGGUGGUUUUAAUGAAUAUCAAAGUUCUCCUCUUGUUUCUGUGAGCCACUAGGGGCAUCAGCUGCAGAGUGGCUGUAGAAGAAGACAGCAUCUCCAUGACCUAUUUCACCCCCUUUUCCUUCCCUACUCCCCUGCCCCACCCCCAAGCUGUUCUUUCUGCUGCUUUUGGCUUCUGAGUGCCCCAGCCAUCUCUCCAGACAUGUACACUUCAGUUGGGAAGUUAAAAGGGCAAGGGCCAGACCAGCUCUGUCUCCUCUCUUCCUGCCAAUUGUUGCCCAUUUGCUGUGUUGAACUCUGUGUAAAGUUAUGCCUCAGUCUCUCUUUGCUAAAGCUUUUUGCAUGCCUUCUGCUCCCAAGUCUCUGGCUGCUUCUGCACACACCCUGAACACAUUGUGCCUGUUUUCUAUGGUUGUGGAGAGUGGGUGAACAAGUAAGUAUGUACAGCAGUUUUCCUUAUGGUAUUGGUCACAGUUAUCUUGUGUCUAUCUAUAUCUGUAUUAUUCUAACAAUAUCCUGUAAUUAAAAGUAUAAUUUUUAAA
rnacentral:lncRNA from 1 species